CUUAAGACGUUCGAUCCAUUUGAAUACAGUCUAAGAAAAGUGCUCGUGUGAACAGCACCGAACGGCGGUGUUGACGGUGUUUUAAGAGACGUUACUUGGUUGGAAUAAAUUAAAAAAAAUUUGUUGGCCAACGCUGGAAAACAGUUGUGUGGCAGCAACAAAUUCGCAACAAAAGUGUAAAUAAAAUCAAAAGUAGAAAAAAAACGCAGUAAAUUAAAAAAAGAAAAACUAAAAAAUAAAAGGAAAAUAAGGCAAAGUGUAAAAUUGUGUGUUGUAAUCUAAUGAAAAACAUACAGCGCAAGCAAUGAGAGUCAACAAAAAUUGCGAGCGGUGAGCUUUUGAUAUUCGUGAAUAAAUCACAACACUUUACGUAUUUGUGCAACAAUAAAGAAAUCAGCAACGAAAACAAAAAAAAAGCAAAUAAAAUUAAAACAAAAUAUUGCGAAAUCCGCAUGCCGCUUUGCUUUGGUGGUGAAAAUUUGAACUAAGCCAAUAUCAAAAAACCAAACUAAAUUAAAUUUUAACGAAAGCAGGCAAAUAAGCAACAGAAAGAAAAAACAUAAACGAAAAACGAAUUAACAAAAUUCAGCACAAAAGAUAAUUGUGUUAGUGUGUAUAGUACGAGUGUAAAAUACUAAAUAAACUAAUAAUACAACAAAGAAAAAAUAAUAAUACAAAAAUUAACACAAUCAGCCAACCAAACGACCAAUUCGAAUUCGCGCUGUCGUUGUAUUGCGACAUAUUUCACUGCUGUGGGGCGUUCACAGCUUGCAUUUGAUUACUUUUUCGGCAAUUACUAUUCAUUGAGGAAAAUUACAAGAAAAAUGGGUUUAUCGCGUGGAUUUGUGAUGCCAUUGUGGUAUUUGGCGUGCGUUUGCUUCAUCUUUCAAACAGGUAAGAAUAAGCGAAUCUGAGUAUCGAGUUUGAGUACGAGCGCCCCUAAUCAAUUGCCAAAUUGAGUUAAAAAGUGGCAACGAGCCAUAACCGACCGUUGAAAUAAAGGCAAAAAGAAAGAAAAUAAUAAAUAAAAAAAAAAACAAAAUAAAUAGGUGCAAUAAAAAUCGCAAGAGGUAAGUUAAACCGAAAGCAGCAACAAUUGCAAUGAUAGAAAUGAAAUUAGCCAAGUGGCUAGCCAGUGAGCCAGUUACGUGUGUAUGAAUGGAUGGACGUAGCAAGAAAGCAGUGACAGGGCAGCGGGCAAUGGAACUGGCUCACAUGCUUUUUUGCGCAAUUUUUAUUUUGUCUGUGUUAUUGUUGCAAUUGUUGUUUUUUUUGUUUUUUCUUUUUUGGUGUUAGCUCAACUAGACCAUCUCCGCAAUACAUUGUAAUUUAUUGUCUGUCUGUGUGGCCAACACUUGAUGCCUCGUGCUGUCACUUUGUGUGUUGUUGUUGUGCUUUAACUUUCUUGUUAAUUUUCCAGUAACAAAUUGCAGACUUACAAUGGUAUGAUUGUGCAUAAAAAAGAAAAAUAGGUAAAUGAGUUAACAAAAAAAUUAAAUUUAAAAAACAGUAUAAAAGAGGCGUAGCGAAUUUGUUAAGCGGACACGGAUGCGAAAUAAGCCAAGUUUAAUAAGAAAAUGCAGCUAUUUGGCAUACAAUUUUUUUUAUAAUUUAUAUUUCUAGAGAAUCUAAGCGUUUUUAUUUAUUAUAUUUUUAUUCUCUGUGAUUCAUUGAACUUUUUGGUUAGAUUGAUUCAUUUUUUUUCCUAAAAUUGAUUUGGGUUCUAAUUUGCUUGCUGACCUACAAACAUUUAAUAUUCGUAUUUUUAUAUUAACUUUUAAUAUAUAUAUAUAUAUAUUAAAUACAUGCAGCAAACCAGUGAGAAAUCAAUGCAAAACCCUGCCCUGGCUGGCGAAGCGCUAGCACACGCCAUCGUAUUCGAGUAUUCCGUCCCUUUGUUCGAAGCGUUGCCACGUACAUAUGUACAUUAGUAAGCACAUACACGCUGUCUAUGGAACCUGCUGGCAGUAUUGAGUCUUGCUGCUGUUACUAAGCUUUUAAUGCCAAAAAUAAGAAAAAAUGUGAAUGGAGUGUUUUUCACAAACGACAAAAAAAAAAAAUCGACA